GAUGAACGCUAGCGGCAGGCUUAAUACAUGCAAGUCGUACGGGAUCCGAGGUAGCAAUACUUUGGUGAGAGUGGCGCACGGGUGCGUAACACGUAUGCAACCUACCUUUAACCGGGACACAACCUUGAGAAAUUGAGGCUAAUAUCCCAUAACACUGCGAAGUGGCAUCACUUUGCAGUUAAAACUCCGGUGGUUAUUGAUGGGCAUGCGCGACAUUAGCUAGUUGGUGAGGUAACGGCCCACCAAGGCUACGAUGUCUAGGGGUUCUGAGAGGAUUAUCCCCCACACUGGUACUGAGACACGGACCAGACUCCUACGGGAGGCAGCAGUAAGGAAUAUUGGUCAAAUGGGCGCAAGCCUGAACCAGCCAUGCCGCGUGAAGGAUGACGGCCCUAUGGGUUGUAAACUUCUUUAUCUGGGACGAAAAAAGGCGAUUCUUCGUCACUUGACGGUGCCAGAUGAAUAAGCACCGGCUAACUCCGUG
rnacentral:rRNA from 1 species